UUGAUUGCAAUUUUUUAUUAAUUUUUUAUUUUUAUAUUCACAGUAUAAAAUCCUUCAUAUACUUAUGCAGUAGUGAUCCUUCCAUAAUUAUACACUAUUUACUUUAUAAUUGUCAGGAAUUGACCAGGGGAUUGCGUACCCCCAACAAGCAAAUCGCAUCACUGAUGCCCCUAAAGGAAAUAGACCUACCCAGAAAGGAGACAGGUCUGCCCAAAGAUUUGGCAGAUCAGCCUAUGAUGAAUGCAAGCCAGGCGGCUGCAAAUCAAGCAUGCAGUCCCACUAAGGAUAGUGCCUUGAGCAUAGCAGAGCACGUCUUAUGAUGCAUGCUUUCUGGGGACAGUUUCCUGGUGUCCCUGAAAUUGGAACACCAGGGAAUAAAGUUGGUACAGCGGUACAUGACCAUAAAAUCAGGGCAGUUCAGCAGAAAUCAGGACAGUUGAGAUAGAAACACAGCUGAGAUGCAAAUAUAUAUCCACAUUACCUAUUUUUGCAAAUAAUUGCAAUUCCCUCGUAAAUUUCUGACAUUUUUAAAUUCUACCUCAUGAGGACGGUGGUCAUUUCACAAUCAAAUUGCACAUUUUAGGCAAAUUAGACAACACAGAAAAAAAUCUAGGAUCCAGUUAUUUUCAAAGGUUGUGAAGUUUGGCCUAAAUUUUUCUUGUCAUUUCUACACAUUCCCAGUUUAGUAAGAAAAUAUGUUAAUGGUAUCUUGUCUUCAAAAGUCAUAAGAAGCUAAUGCAUAUAUUAAUUGAUUAGAAUUAUAUUUAAACCAACAUACUUGUCAUUACUAAGAAGAAUUUCAGUUUUACAAAAAUAUUCAGUACAUUAAAAUAGCUUUCCAUUAAAUCGUCGAUCUGCUUGUAAAUCAAACGCUAGAUCCAGAGGAAGAGGUUACUUGUUCAUUUAAUACCAGAACCGCCAGCACGGAGUGCAACUCAUCCGUCCAACACUACCCACUGCCUAAAGAUGCGUUUACAAUUUCAAUCAAGCAUUAUCCUACCCCAGAAACAACAUAUAGGAUGUACAUUUGCAUAUAAUCAUUCCCACAUCAUCAUCUUAUUAGAGUUCUUGUUUUGUAUUCCACAUUCCCAAACAAUUUUACCACAGUCAAUUUUGAGAGCACACAUUUUUAUAUAAAGCAUUUCAUUAAUAAAAAAAAACAAAAGCACAGGAAAACAUUUAAAACAUUUCCGAUUAGCAAACCAGUACAUGUAACGUGGCCUGAAUAAUUGUUCAAAAUAAUAGGACACAAUAACAUUAGGAGAUACGAAAUUGGAAAAAGGUGGAUGGGCCUAUGGAGUGUCCCAUUUAUACCACUUACAUCACUUGUAGCGUCCAAAAUUGAUGAUCCUGCCUAAAAGUGAGUGGGUCACCAAAAGAAGAGGUGUUUUUGCCUGACAUGUAUGUCUGCUAGGCUGAAUGAGAGCCUCCCAGUGAAGUAGUUUUGCCUCUUUGCUACUUUUUAUUGCUUGAUUUCCAAAUAACAUAUUUUCCCCAAUAAUGAAAUAGUAAAACCUUGAGCCCACCAAGUAUUUAUCAUCAGUACACUAAGAUUGUCAAACGUGUACAAUCAAACAUUAACCGACCACAGGAAUAAUAUAUAGGAUGUACCUUUGCCUAUAAUCAUUCCCCCAACAUCAUCUUAUUUUUGGUCUUUGAGGUUUCCCACAACCCUUUGUGCCCUUGUUCUUCUCAUGUUUCCUACUUUUCCUCACUUGUUUCACUUAGAAGCCUCUCUUUCUGUCAUUUUCUCAUUUUAAAGAGACAAUAUAGUCACCAGAACAACUACAGCUUAUUAAAUUUGUUCUGGUGAGUAGAAUCAUUACCUUCAGGCUUUUUGCUGUAAACACUCUCUUUUCAAUGAAAAUGCAGUGUUUACAUUACAGACUAGUGAUAACUUCACUGGCCACAUCUAAGACGGCUGCUGGAGCUGCUUCCUAUCUCAGUCUUGCCUGGUGUGCAUCCAAACAUUCAGUGUCUCCUCCCUCUGCAUGCAGACACUGAACUUUCCUCGCAGAGAUUCAUUGAUUCAAUUCAUCUCUAUGAGGAGAUGCUGAUUGGCCAGGACUGUUCCUGACCCUAUAGUGUUUCUUAAAUUAAUUACUCUUCUUUUAUUUAUUUUUUUCACUUUUCUUUAUUACUUAAUUAGGUUGCAUUACAUAUUUGUUUCUUACAUACUGCAUGUUCAUGCUCAGUAACUUUGAAACAUUUGUAGUAUUGCUUUUCUAUGUAUCUGUGACAUGGACUGAACAAUCCAACGAUGUAUAUGCUACAUUAUUGCUUUUUUGUUCUGUUUUUUUUUAAAAUCUUUAAUACAUUUUAUUUUGAAAAAAGAAUAACAAUAUACAUUAACACAAAUAUAUAUAUAUAUACAUACAAGGGUUUUAUUGAUUUUCAAUUAAAGGGAUUCUCCAGUGCCAGGAAAACAAACCCGUUUCCCUGGCACUAGAGAAUCCUGGAGUGUCCCCCUCCCUCCUCGCUGAAGGGGUUAAAAUCCUCUGUGCUGGGUUAGGCUCCGCCCACGCUCCUCCCGGAGGCUGACAUCGGCAGGAGAGACCUGAUACGCAUGUGCGGCAAUGGCCGCGCGCGCAUUAGACCUCCCCAUAGGAAAGCAUUAUUCCUAUGGGGAAAAUCUGACGCUGGAGCUCCAUGAGGACGUCCAGCGUCAGAUAACGGACCAAAAGUCAGUUUGGAUUCCAGAAGCCCUCUAGUGGCUGUCUGUUAGACAUAUAGGGCAGACUUAGAGCUGCAAUGUAAACAUUUCAGUUCUUUGGAACUGCAAUGUUUUACAUUGCAGCACUAAGUGCAAGAGGGUCACAGCACCCAGACUACUUCAAUUAGAUGAAGUGGUCUGGGUGCCUACAGUGUCCCUUUAAUAUAAAGGCUCAAACUAUCUCGACACUGCCGUGCUGUUAGCAGCAUGUCAUUAUUUUCAGGAAAUAAGAAUGCAUACCUCCCAAGUGUCCCUAUUUAGGAUGGACCGUCUCUAUUUUGGAUCCAAAUUCCUCGGUUCCCCUUUCCAUCCUAAUGUCCACCUAUUCUAGGAGCUCCAUUUUGUUGGUGUGUCUGAAUUUAUAAUAGAGCUCCACUGCAAUAAUACUCACAGUAACAUGUCUUUAAACUACAAUAAAUUUAUUUAGAAAUCAGUCUGUGUAAAUAAAAUAAGAUGCUCAUUUUCUAAAUUACAUUCUAGUUGCAUAACUUAUUAUUAGUAAGUCACCUAGAACUUUCUCAGAACAGCUACACCCCUCUUUACACCCCUAAAAUCAAAGUAUCCCUCUUUGUCCAUUUAAGAUGUUGGGACAGAUGGUUGUGUGUUUCCCUGUUACAAACUUCUCACUUUUAAUGCUCAUUAAAUAUCAUACUGCAUUCUUUUUGGAGCAAUGUUUAACAGACCAGUGAGAGAUAUGAGUGUAGAAGGUAUGUGCAUACAUUCCUCAAAAUAUCCAGUUUUGCCUGUUUAGAAGGUGGUUGAAAGGCAUGUACUAGGCUGCCUGACAUAUCCUUAUAUCAACAAGACUGGUGCCUUUUUACUUGGUGGUGCAGCAUCAAUAUGGAUUAUUUUUGUAUUUGCUGUCACUGUAUCUUACUAGUUCCUCCAUGAAAGGAUAGGCAGCUAAUUUUGCAAUUCGUGUUCCUCUAGUGAAUGAAUGAAAGAUUGCAUAAGUGCCUUUUUAUAAGACUACAUACUAGUUUGGAUUAGGAGUAGAAUUUAGGUUUUUCGAUUCCUCCUUGACAGCAACUCAAACUAUAUAUAGUGCUACUGCCCACUUGUUAAUGAUGACAACUUCCAAUGUAGUAGCACUGCUCACUCCUACCUACACCUGCAUUCACAUACUGUCAUGCCGCACUAAUACAACUUAGCAUUCAUAAUAUGACGCUACACACAAAUUCGCACCUAUAUUUGUACACUGACACAACACACAAAUACACCACUGUAUUCACAAUUCAUUGUAGUAAAGUCUGCGUGCACAGUUGUGCUAACAAACCGCAAUGUAAUAGCCAUUGAGGUCUUUACAAGCCCUCAAGACUAGGGUUAACUCUAAUGGAUAAUGUUUGUAUGUUGAAGAGUGUCAUAUCAUUAAGGUAAUUAAGGUUUUACUUUGGUUAGACCUUAGCCAUCUGUGGUACACUGCUGCAGUAGAGCAGGGCUUGACAAUUGUGCCAUGAAACCU